ACUGGAGCCAGACAGGCACGUGUGCAGUGUGUGUAUUAUGUCAGCUAUGUGUUUUUUACUAUGUCAGCUAUGUGUGUGUGCGUGUGUGUUUGUGCGCAAUGUCUGUUAUGUGUGUUCAGUGUGUGUACGAACAGUGGUCCCGUUUACAAUGUAAAAUGCUGUAAUUUUUGGGGUCUGGAACGCAUUCAUCAAAUUUACAUGCAUUCUUGAACGGAUUAAGUUCGAGUUCCGAGGUUUCACUGUACUUCCCUAUGAUCAGCAUUUGAUGACUCUUGCUAAUGUUUUUCUUUGCAGGGGUAAACACACCUCUAGUGGCUGCCUUCCUGACAGAGAGCAUUUUAUUGAAGCAGUGCGGUGAUUAGCG